AUACGGAGGGUGCAAGCGUUAUCCGGAAUCAUUGGGUUUAAAGGGUUCGUAGGCGGGUCAAUAAGUCAGAGGUGAAAUCUUGCAGCUUAACUGUAAAAUUGCCUUUGAUACUGUUGACCUUGAAUUACUGUGAAGUGGUUAGAAUAUGUAGUGUAGCGGUGAAAUGCUUAGAGAUUACAUAGAAUACCGAUUGCGAAGGCAGAUCACUAACAGUAUAUUGACGCUGAUGAACGAAAGCGUGGGUAGCGAACGGGAUUAGAUACCCUAGUAGUCC
rnacentral:rRNA from 1 species